CGGUGAGGGCCUUUCCCGGGUGCCUUGUACGCCCCUGGCCGAGGGAUGCUCUUACAGCCCGCUCUCCUAACUUCAGGACACAGGAAUGAGCAGCAAGGUGUUUCAGCCAGUCCUACCAUCACAGAAAGAGAUGGCCAUAAUCACUAUGUAACUAUCUAAGUCCCAAAACUACAGAAGCACCUGAGCACCUUAAAGGUCAGGCUCAUUUUCCACAUCUGGAGGGAUGAAGAAGCCGUUUGCGCUGGUCCCUGGCGCUGGCUGCCGGAGCCCCAGCCCCUGCUCCUCACUUGCUGGCAGCGCUGCACAGCUCCACGGAAAUCAAGGUUUCACGGCCCCCCCGGCGGCCAGUGCUUCGCUCAGGUCCUUCUCGGAGCAGCUCUAACCACCAUUGCACAGCAAAAAGAAAAAAAAAAAAAAAAAAAAAGCCAGAAA